UGGUGUCGCGUGAGGUCCACUUAGUGAUAAGUUUGCAAUUGUUUUGAUUUUUGUUGUAUGGUGACCUGUUGUGCUAUGUCAUUUGCCUAUAUAUAUAUUGGUUUGUUUUGGUGAGUAAACAGAAGAGAAAAAUUAAAGGGCAAAGGGCCGAGAUUUUAUUUAAGCAGAGAGCCGAGACGGACUUGAGGCAUGAUGAUCCAGUAUUGAUUUAUUCUUUUAAAGAUUUCAGGUACCGAGGAUGAGCUUGGAUUGAUAGUAGCAGGCUAGGAGGAAGAGUAGGACUGGAGGAAUUAAAUUAUUUAUUUUAGAGAAGUUGUGUAUUUAAUUGAGGAAAUUAAUUUGUAUUAAUAAAAUGGUAUUUUCUUUUGA